CCGCGGGGAGAAGAAGCUUGGCGUCAAGGUUGUUUGGUUUACAGUUGACCCAUCGAGAAAACGUUCUUCAGAAUAUUGACAUCGGAAUUAAAACUGGGUUACUUCAGAGGGAGCUGUUCUCACAGUGUGGUUAACAUCACAACUCUCCACUGCAGCUCGUUACCAAUUUCCGUGAUUCAUCGAACCUGAUCACUGCGACCGAGACGAGCGGACAAACAUCGGUGGCAAUUGUCUUAGGUAAACUCAAAUAAAUU